UACGGGGGGAGCAAGCGUUGUUCGGAUUUACUGGGCGUAAAGGGCGCGUAGGCGGUCAGCACAAGUCAGUUGUGAAAUCUCCGGGCUUAACUCGGAAAGGUCAACUGAUACUGUGCGACUAGAGUGCGGAAGGGGCAACUGGAAUUCUUGGUGUAGCGGUGAAAUGCGUAGAUAUCAGGAGGAACACCGGUGGCGAAGGCGCACAUCUGGCCCGAUACUGACGCUGAGGCGCGAAAGCUAGGGGAGCAAACGGG
rnacentral:rRNA from 1 species